UGAGGAAUAUUGGUCAAUGGGCGAGAGCCUGAACCAGCCAAGUCGCGUGAAGGAAGAAGGAUCUAUGGUUCGUAAACUUCUUUUGCAGGGGAAUAAAGUGCAGGACGUGUCCUGCUUUGUAUGUACCCUGAGAAUAAGGAUCGGCUAACUCCGUGCCAGCAGCCGCUGUAAUACGGAGGAUCCGAGCGUUAUCCGGAUUUAUUGGGUUUAAAGGGUGCGUAGGUGGUUUUAUAAGUCAGCGGUGAAAGUUUGCAGCUUAACUGUAAAAAUGCCGUUGAAACUGUAAGGCUUGAGUGUAAAUGAGGUAGGCGGAAUGCGUGGUGUAGCGGUGAAAUGCAUAGAUAUCACGAAGAACUCCGAUUGCGAAGGCAGCUUACUAAGCUACAACUGACACUGAAGCACGAAAGCGUGGGGAUCAAACA
rnacentral:rRNA from 1 species